rnacentral:rRNA from 1 species
AUUGAACGCUGGCGGCAUGCCUUACACAUGCAAGUCGAACGGUAACAGGUCUUCGGAUGCUGACGAGUGGCGAACGGGUGAGUAAUACAUCGGAACGUGCCUAGUCGUGGGGGAUAACUACUCGAAAGAGUGGCUAAUAACGCAUGAAAUCUACGGAUGAAAGUAGGGGAUCGUAAGACCUUGUGCUACCAGAGCGGCCGAGGGCAGAUUAGGUAGUUGGUGGGAUAAAAGCUUACCAAGCCGAAGAUCUGUAGGUGGUCUGAGAGGACGAUCAGCCACACUGGGACUGAGACACGGCCCAGACUCCUACGGGAGGCAGCAGUGGGGAAUUUUGGGCAAUGGGCGCAAGCCUGAUCCAGCAAUGCCGCGUGCAGGAUGAAGGCCUUCGGGUUGUAAACUGCUUUUGUACGGAACGAAAAGCCCCGGGUUAAUACCCUGGGGUCAUGACGGUACCGUAAGAAUAAGCACCGGCUAACUACGUGCCAGCAGCCGCCGCAG